AAAAAGAUAAAUCCUGGGUUUCCGUGUCCAACGUUUGACCGUUCGUCUUAUUUAAAAAAAUUAUGAAAAAAAUUAAAAAAACAAGUCACGUAUAAAGUAUUGAUCAUGUUUAUCAUCUAACAACAAUAAAAAUAGAAAUUAUAAAAAAAAUUCUUAUAAUACGGACAGUCAAACGUUGGACACGGAAACCCAGGGUUUGUCUUUUU
rnacentral:pre_miRNA from 1 species